UGGAUUGGUGAUGGCCACUAGUGACGUAGGAGUUGUAUAUGAUGAAUAUAUGGAACUCUGGAACUCUGAAGUCCAA
ensembl:snoRNA